UGGGGAAUCUUAGACAAUGGGGGAAACCCUGAUCUAGCCAUGCCGCGUGAGCGAUGAAGGCCUUAGGGUUGUAAAGCUCUUUCAGCUGGGAAGAUAAUGACGGUACCAGCAGAAGAAGCCCCGGCUAACUCCGUGCCAGCAGCCGCGGUAAUACGGAGGGGGCUAGCGUUGUUCGGAAUUACUGGGCGUAAAGCGCACGUAGGCGGAUUUAGUCAGUCAGAGGUGAAAUCCCAGGGCUCAACCCUGGAACUGCCUUUGAUACUGCUAGUCUUGAGGUCGAGAGAGGUGAGUGGAAUUCCGAGUGUAGAGGUGAAAUUCGUAGAUAUUCGGAGGAACACCAGUGGCGAAGGCGGCUCACUGGCUCGAUACUGACGCUGAGGUGCGAAAGCGUGGGGAGCAAAACAGGAUUAGAUACCCUGGUAGUCCACGCCGUAAACGUGAAUGCCAGUCGUCGGGUUGCAUGCAAUUCGGUGACACACCCUAACGGGAUUAAAGCAUUCCGCCUGGGGAGUACGGUCGCAAGAUUAAAACUCAAAUGAAUUGACGGGGUCAUAGCUGUUUCCUG
rnacentral:rRNA from 1 species